rnacentral:rRNA from 1 species
UACGAAGGGGGCGAGCGUUGUUCGGAUUUACUGGGCGUAAAGGGUUUGUAGGUGGCUUGUUAAGUCAGACGUGAAAUCCCUCAGCUUAACUGGGGAACUGCGUCUGAUACUGGUGAGCUUGAGUGCAGGAGAGGAACGCGGAAUUCCAGGUGUAGCGGUGAAAUGCGUAGAUAUCUGGAGGAACACCGGUGGCGAAGGCGGCGUUCUGGACUGCAACUGACACUGAAAAACGAAAGCCAGGGGAGCAAACGGG